rnacentral:lncRNA from 1 species
GGAGGAUCCUGGUGUGCUGGGCCUGGGAGAGCCCCUGCCUCAGAUGUGGGCACUUUGGAAGCCAGGCCCAGCCCUCUGGGGGGUUGGGGAAGGGACUGAAGGCACAAGAGAACUACAAGGAUAGGGUGACACUUUAUUACUCCUGAAGCCCCACCGGCAGAACCCACAGGCCAGGCAGACCCCGCAGACCCCGCAGACCCCAUGGACCCAGGUGCAGAGGCCCGACGGCAAAAAGCACAGGCCUGGGCUGGCCUCUCCGGCAGGGACACCCAGGCUUCUCGGGGGCAGGCCUCUGUGGCUGUAGUACUCCACCACCUGCUUCGGGACCUCGGCCAGCACGCACUUGGCCAGCGCCGCAGGGGAUGCCUGGAGGAUGGGACAACGCAGUUACCUCUGGGACCUUCGAGAUGGAGAUCAUCCGUCCCUGCAACUGGAUUAUGGCCCAGGCCUCAUCCUCCAGAGCCGAGUGGUGACUACCCACCCCCACCAGAGGCUCACCUGGGUGCCGGGCAAGACUUGCUGAGGAUGUCGGCCACAUGAGGCUGCACGUGGGUCUUUCCAGCCCCCCAAGCACGGAGAUGAAAAGUGCUGACACGGGAGGCGAGGCCACCUCCAUGGUCCAGGCCCCACCCACACUUCCCCGGCAAAGCCUGAGCGUGUCUGUGUGAUGUGACUCACUGCAGAGCUUCAUGUGUCUGUAAUAUGCAUGUUUCACUGCGUAGAAUGUCACGUGUCCGUGUCUUCAUGCAUGUCUGUGGUGUCUUGCUGUGUAGAACUUCACAUCUAUGUGGCAUGCACGUCUUGCUGUAGGGCCUCAUGUGUGACAUGUGUGUCUUGCCUGGUAGAACCUCACGUGUGUGCUGUGCGUCUCACCGGGUAGAACCUCACGUGUGUGCUGUGUGUGUCUCGGCGGGUAGAACCUCACGUGUGUGCUGUGCGUGUCUCGCCGGGUCGCAGAGGUUGGCA